CUUUAUGGCGGGCGGUGCGUGGGGGUCUUCGGACCCGCCGGUUAUUGACAACUGUCUGUCCCGGUUUGGAACCCGCACCGUCCGCCACCUCU
rnacentral:antisense_RNA from 2 species